rnacentral:tRNA from 1 species
GGGCCGUUGGCGCAGGGGUAGCGCGUUCCCUUGACAUGGGAAAGGUCGCAGGUUCAAAUCCUGCACGGCCCACCA